CAAUAGCGUAUAUUAAAGUUGUUGCGGUUAAAAAGCUCGUAGUUGGAGUUCUGCCAGGUGCCGCCUGUCCGCCCCAGUGGUGAGUACGUGGCGCGCAUUUGGCCCUUUCAAGGGGAGCGUAUCUGCACUUUAUUGUGUGGUGCGGGAUCCUUGACUUUUACUUUGAGGAAAUAGGAGUGUUCCAAGCAGGCUCUCGUCGUGCACAGCUCAGCAUGGAAUAAUAGCAUUGGACCUCGAUUCUAAGCUGUUGGUUGCCAGAAGCGAGGUAAUGAUGAAGAGGGAUAGUUGGGGGCAUUCGUAUUUAACUGUCAGAGGUGAAAUUCUUGGAUUUGUCAAAGACGGACUACUGCGAAAGCAUUUGCCAAGGAUGUUUUCAUUGA
rnacentral:rRNA from 1 species